rnacentral:rRNA from 1 species
AUCGAACGCUGGCGGCAGGCCUAACACAUGCAAGUCGAGCGGAUGAAGAGAGCUUGCUCUCUGAUUUAGCGGCGGACGGGUGAGUAAUGCCUAGGAAUCUGCCUGGUAGUGGGGGAUAACGUUCCGAAAGGAACGCUAAUACCGCAUACGUCCUACGGGAGAAAGCAGGGGACCUUCGGGCCUUGCGCUAUCAGAUGAGCCUAGGUCGGAUUAGCUAGUUGGUGAGGUAAUGGCUCACCAAGGCGACGAUCCGUAACUGGUCUGAGAGGAUGAUCAGUCACACUGGAACUGAGACACGGUCCAGACUCCUACGGGAGGCAGCAGUGGGGAAUAUUGGACAAUGGGCGAAAGCCUGAUCCAGCCAUGCCGCGUGUGUGAAGAAGGUCUUCGGAUUGUAAAGCACUUUAAGUUGGGAGGAAGGGCAUUAACCUAAUACGUUAGUGUUUUGACGUUACCAACAGAAUAAGCACCGGCUAACUUCGUGCCAGCAGCCGCCGCGG